AUAGAAGAUUCUUCAGUGACAGUAUUGCUGCAUUCAUGGAAAACGGGUUGGCAGAUAAAACGUUUGAAUGAUACUGCACAUCUGAGGCUUCUCUAGUUGGAGAAUUAUGAAAGCUGCUGUUAACUAUUGGGUGAAAGCUGGUAUUGUGUUCAUUUAUGGAUCAUGUUGCAACUCAUGAUUUCACGUGAAAUGAUGUUACUUCUACACCUUGCUGCUAUGUUGUUGACAUAUUUAUUUACACUUAUGGACUUACCAGCUUGAAAGAAAAAGAGGAUCAGGUUGGGAGUUGGGUAUUUGUAUUGGGUAAUUCUUUUGAUUUGUAGCAUUACAAGUGUUUUUAUUGUAGAGUGAAAGAUAAUGCUUUUCCCC
rnacentral:misc_RNA from 1 species